rnacentral:rRNA from 1 species
AUUGAACGCUGGCGGCAGGCCUAACACAUGCAAGUCGAACGAGUGGCGGACGGGUGAGGAAUGUCUGGGAAACUGCCUGAUGGAGGGGGAUAACUACUGGACGCGGUAGCUACUACCGCAUACCAUCAGAUGUGCCCAGAUGGGAUGAGCUUGUUGGUGGGGUAACGGCCCACCAAGGCGACGAACCCUAGCUGGUCUGAGAGGAUGACCAGCCACACUGGAACUGAGACACGGUCCAGACUCCUACGGUAGGCAGCAGUGGGGAAUAUUGGACAAUGGGCGAAAGCCUGAUGCAGCCAUGCCGCGUGUAUGAAGAAGGCCUUCGGGUUGUAAAGUACUUUCAGCGGGGAGGCGUUACCCGCAGAAGAAGCACCGGCUAACUCCGUGCCAGCAGCCGCGGUAAUAC